CCACGUUUUUUCUUUUCGUAAAUCCCACCCCGAGAAGGAUUUGGUUUGAAACCCGUUUAUAAAUCCAUGGAAGAGAGAAAUAGAGGCAGAAAAACCAAUCAUAGUAUCAUGUCAAAACGAAGAGGAAGGAUUUGGGGCAAAUCUAUGGCAGACACGAUAAUAACCCGUGCAAAGAGGAGAAAUCGCUUGCGGAUCAGAGGAAGUAGAGGAGUGAUCAAGACAACGGCGGCGGCGACGAAGGCUGCGGCGGUGGAGAAAAGAAAUCAGUCGUCAUGGCUCAUAGAUCGUCUUCCUCCAGAGGUACUACUCAUCGGCAUACUUUCUACACUGCCAGUCAAAUCUCUCUUGCAAUUGAGGUUCGUAUGCAAAUCCUUGUACCAUAUAAUCUCCGACACUUACUUUGUUAAAACCCAUCUCAACCGACCAAUCACAAGCCCUAAUCUCCUAAGACAAAGACAACAUAUUUUCAUAAGGUCUAGCCGAAAGCCAGACAUUCCCUACGCCAUCAGCCUCGAAGCAGCCGCUGAUAAGGUUGAUGGCGACAUUGUGGCUUCUGGAGUAAAGAUGGAUUAUUUGGUAGAGUUCAAAGAGCAUUCUUUUGAUUACUGCUAUAUAUUGGGUUCUUGCAAUGGGUUGUUGUGCUUGGGGUUGGGGCCAACGGCUCUCUAUAUAUUCAAUCUCUCCACCAGAGAGUCCAAGACAAUACCUGUACCUGACUACUUAAAUUCGCAAAAUUUAUAUAUAUUCGGAUUUGGCUAUGAUCACUCCGCUGAUGAUUACAAACUGGUGGCAGCUGAUAAAAAAGGCUUCUAUGUAUAUUCACUAAGAACUGAUUCCUGGAAAAAGGUUCAAGGCCUUCCUAAUAAUCAUUCGAAUAUAUCUUCUUCGGAUGAGACACUGCUGAAUGGGACACUGCUGAAUGGUACACUGCUGAAUGGAGCUAUCCACUGGCUCUGUCUUGGCCAGAUUAUUGCUUUCUCUUUGGCGGACGAGAAAUUCUGGGAGUUUCCGGCGCCUACUCUCUCUAAUAACGAUAUCCCCCAGACCUUGCGGUUACUUGGAGGAUGUCUUUGUAUGGUACCAAUGUUUGGUCGUGAAUUUUGGGUGAUGAAGGAAUAUGGCGUGGCACAGUCUUGGACUAAAGUUGUGAUUGAAGUCCCAUUUUCCAAAACCAUCAAGACAUUGGCUUUGUUGGAGAAUCAUGAAGCCAUAUUAAGAAUAGGCUUCGAGAAGUUAGUUCUAUACAACACAAGAGAGAGAACAUACAGGGAUCUGGUACUUCGGGAUUUCCCAGAUGUGGCUAGGAUUCGCAAUACAGGAGCUUAUGUGGAGAGCCUCGUAUCACCCUGUCAUGGAAAUUUGAGUUAGAGGCAAUAUCAAGUACAAAUUUAUUUCUGGAUGACUGGAUAGAAUGUCAGCCACUUUUGCUUUUUUGUCGGAACCUGAUUCAUAUGCAAUUAGAGAACUUGCAAUUGAAGAAGAGGCGAUGAAGUGUUUCUGAUGCAUUCCUGCAUAGCACACAUGCAUCUUUCUGGAUGAUCCCUUUCUCUUUAAGCAGAGAGAGUUUGCAAUCUUCCUCGAGCAGCCAGCCAAAGUAUAAAGUAUAAAUGCUGAAGUUUAAUAUUUGAUGACAGGCUAAAGUUUUCCAUUAUGGAUCAAUAAGCUUGAUUGUGGAGCCAUGUAGAUCUGCACAUCUAAAGGCGAUGGAAGUGGCAAAGGAUGCUUUGGUGCCCUGCUAGCUCUCAAAUGAUCCCAACCUUCAGCGACCAUUGUGGCCCUCAGCAGAGGAGGCGCGUGAACAGACGAUGAGCAUCUGGGACAAGUCAGAGGUGAAGCUCCUCCGGUUGCAGGUAUUACACUAAGGUAUGCCAAGAAUAUCUCUCAUUCAAUUUUUAUAUUUAGCUUUGAUGGUAAGUGAAGGUUCAUGUAAGGUGGAAGCCAAAGCGCUUUUAGGUUGCAUGAUUUGAGACGCACAAUUCCAUUUUUACCUAUGUAUUAAGUCUGCAUUACCAACUUGCUAUUCUAUGACUUCAGCAGCUAACUUAUUCAAAAUUUACCAGAUACUAUAGAUAGUAGAAGCCUUUUUGAAACGUUUCAGUUCUUUUUGCAAAUUAAUUUUGUACAGUUUUUAGUUAAUUUUGGUGUUUUUAUUCCCGUAUUUUUAGAAGUUACACUUGGUAGUAUUCAAAUAUUAAACUGGCUGCCUCUCCUGAGUUAUUUUCUCGACUUAUUUUUCAAAAUGUAUGGUUCUUGCAGUUCUUUAUUUCUUAGGUCCCAGUUAUUUUGGCUUUGAGUGUUUAGACAUUUACUUGUAGUAUAUGUUUAGGUAUUGCUGUUAUAAUAUAGUAAUCCAAAACAAUUGCUAAUACUAAAAUAUUUCUUUAUUGUUUGCACAUGAAAAUUUGCAAAAUUCUCUCAAAUUUGUAACGCAAAAUAAAUAAUUUCAAGUAUUUCAGUAGAUCUAGUAGUCCCCCUUCCUUGUGAAAUUCUUUUUGGAGUCAAGCCUUGAAUGUGAAGUAAAGGUGAUCGUCGUGUUCUUAAGGUCCAAGCAUAUUACUAUUAAAUUUUGUUGAUUGUGUCCUUGAUUAGCACAAUAUAUAUUUAUAAAUAUGAAAAUAUAGUUGCCCUCUUGAUAAUUUCUACUUUAAAAAGGACCACCCAUUUCGAAAUGUUUAAACAAUGAACAACCCAUUAGAAUUUUCAUGGAUGCAUUUCAUGUCAAAUAUGUGGAUACGACUGGUGUUGGUGACUCAUUCGUCGUUGCAUUCCUCUGCAAGAUUGUUGACGAUCAAUCUGUCCUCGAGGUAAUUAAGUGUUAUUUGUUGAUAUCUGUUUUGUCUUUUCUUUUUUGGUGGAGAAAUCAGGGUUCUAACCUAAGUUCUAUAUUAUUUGAAAUUGUUAUGCAUUUAAAUGCAGGAUGAAAAGGGGUUGAGGGAAGUCCUGAAAUUUGCGAAUGCUUGUGGACCCUCAACACCAACAAAAAAAGGAGCAAAUCCCUGCUCUCCCUAUCGAACCUGAAGUCCUCAGUCUCAUUAAAGGGGAAUAGGAUACUUAUUACUUUUUUAUUUCUUCUUUCAUUUUCAUUUUCAUUGUAAAAUAAUUUUUAGUUUUAGUUCUAUAUUAAGAUUUUUAGUUUUA